UACUCAAAGUACUUCAUACAAUAUAGUAAAACUAAUUAAUUUAUUUGGGUUUUACAGCACACCAACACAGUAUAGGUUAAAAAAACCAAUUCAAUUCAAAUCUGAAAGCUAUCUCAUGUUUCUUAGUCAAUCCUCAGGCCUGUUUACAUGGAGAGGUGGCAAAUACCUUAAAUGGUUCGAUCCUCAUGCCAAGUAGGACAGGAGAGGUGGUACAAAUGCAUGUAGAUACCAAGACUUGCAGGAUGUAAAUACCUAAGUUUGUCAUACGUAGUAAAAACCAGUUCAAAUCUCGUGUUUCUUUGUCAAUCCUCAGGCCUGUUUACAUGGAGAGGUGGCGAAUACCUUAAAUGUUACGAUCCUCGUGCCAAGUAGGAUAGAUUAGGAGAGGUGGUACAAAUGCAUGUAGAUACCAAGACUUGCAUGAUGUAAAUAUUUAAUCCCAAUAUUAUUGCACAUUCGGUAGCAAAGAUGUUGACACCACAUGUCGUCUGAUGAUGACUUUUACAGAUCGAAUAAGGUUUGGUCAUUGUAUUCCCUGAAAGGAAUGAGAGGAGAAAAGAAACUGGAAGACCUGGCUAUCUGCAAGCCAAUGCUGGCUGCAGGUCAAUAUUGAAUGCUCUUAUGAAAACUCAUAAGACAAUAACAAAAAAAAGAAGCUGAGGAUGCUGUUUUUAAAACAUGCUCCAUUCAAAAAAGGUGGAUUGAAAUUUAAGAAAGGUGUGACGGGUGCGUCUGCUGCAGGCAGGGGGGAUUUGACGGUCAGCCAGAGGAUUUGGAGAUAUACUGUAAUGUCUUUAAU